rnacentral:rRNA from 1 species
CUUGGUCAUUUAGAGGAAGUAAAAGUCGUACAAGGUAUCUGUAGGUGAACCUGCAGAUGGAUCAUUUCGAUGAAAACCUUUUUCUUGAGGUGUGGCUCGCACCUGUCUAACUAAAUCGAGCUACCAAUUUUAACACGGUUGCAUCGGUUGGCUGUCAAACAGUGCGCGCGGCGAUUAUUUCGCCUCCCCGCGCAUUGCCGAGACGGUCGACAUUUACCAAAAACCUGUUGAUACCAUAGGAUUUGAACGUAGAUGAAACUCGACUGGUAAUGCGUCGUCUAAAAUCUAAAAACAGCUUUUGGCAACGGAUCUCUUGGUUCUCCAUCGAUGAAGAACGCAGCGAAUUGCGAUAAGUAAUGUGAAUUGCAGAAUGAAUCAUCGAAUCUUUGAACGCACCUUGCGCUCCCGGCAGAUCUAAUCGGGGAGCAUGCCUGUUUGAGGGCCGCGAAUUGUUUCGAACGACAGCUUUUUAUUUAGUUGAGAAAGCUGGCGGAUCGGUAUUGAGGGUCUUGCCAUCUCCACGGUGGCUCCCUCGAAAUGCAUUAGCGCAUCCAUUCGAUAGGCAAGCGGACGAAAGCUCGUUAUUUCGCCCACGUCUUUCCCUGCCGGGUUUUGAAAUAUCAGGACUUCGGAGAGGAGAGGCGCAGGGUCGAGGAGCUGGACGCACGUUUUGCUGGUUGGAGUGCUUCUGAACCCCGCCCAUGCCUCGCUUCUUGGAAGAGAGGAAGGGAUUUAAUUUCAAUUCAUCGGCCUCAGAUUGGUAGACUACCCGCUGAACUUAAGCAUAUCAAUAAGCGGAGGAAAGGGUCGG